rnacentral:lncRNA from 1 species
UAUUCUUUCAUGCAAUCUGAGCAUAUUUUACGUAAUAUAUGCACAAAGAUGGUGUUGUUUCUUGGGCAAAUAUCUGGUACAGUAAGUCACGAUUUACCCACAUAUGAACAUUUAGGUAAGAAUUUCACCUGAAUUUAAUGUUUGCUCUGCCAGUCACCAAGAGAUAACAUAUUUUGUGUGUGUUUUAGCAUUGGGGCGUAUAGCAGCAUCAACCUCUGCUGCCACACCUUAAUUCUAUUUAAUGCACGUACAGAAUUGCUUUGAUGCAAAAAACUGACAAAAUCCUAUUUUGAUCUACUUUACAGGUCUAUAACAAAAGUUUGUCUCUAAUCAAAAAGCCUGUCAUGAUAAUAGGAUACAUUUUGUUUUGUCUUGCUCAGAGCUAGCAAGCUAUCCUUAAUUAUUAAUCUUGAAUUGCUAGUACUUAUUAUUAUUUUUUAUUUCACAAUAACUUGAGGACAUUUCUGUUGUUGAGGGAUACAAAUACCAUAAAAUGUUGGAGUGUUUGCUAAAUCUUAUGCUGAUCUUCUGAGAGUUCUUGGAGUCAGUGAAGGAUUUUGUAGGAAUCUGAGCAGGCCUAGACUAAACUACAUGUUUUGGAAAUGGAUUUAAAAAUAUGUCUGCAGAUAAUGUCUUUCCAGACCAAACUUAACGAUGAAUUUUUGAUAAGCGUUAUAUCAUGUGAAAUAUUAUAGGGAAUGAAAACACAUCACAGAAGAUAUCAUGAAUCUGAGCAGAAAUUUUAUUUUUUUCUUGUUGCCAAUGAAAAAAUUGCAACAGUUCAGGUGGAGACAUAAGAAAAUGGCAUCCAGUCAAAGGUGGUGUCCAGUCAGAGCAGACCUCUCUCCAUAGUUCCAUUGUCAUCCUGAGCUUACAAAUGAUGCUGUCCCUUCUGGUUCUGAAGAUGUGAGUGCGCUUGAGGGUUCCUCCACCUCUGUGACCACUGCACCAGAGGACAGCUACCUCUGCAAAUCUGCCACAAAUCUGUCUCUGCUGUACCUCAUUGACAGCCACAGUGUAAAUGGCACCUCCAAGAAUUAUUCAUUUAAAAGAGUCUCUGCUUCGAAGAGUUCAUGGGAUAAGGGGAAGACAAAGACACCCAGCAGGCAAUUGACUUGCUCAACAUCAUAUAAAGUUUCCUGGCUCACAGUCCAGUACCCUCCAAACGAACUCUUGUUGUCUCUCUAAGAAAUCUUUUAUAAAUGGGCACACAAACUUCCAUAAAAUAGCAAAAAACAAUGUAGGCUUGGGCCUGGAUUUCUCAAGUGCACAGGGUUUUGUUUGCCUUGAUAUCUUUUGUGAAAAACAAUGAAGUGUAUGAGUGGCAACAAAACUCUAUAUCUGAAUUCACUGAAACAUUAUGAAAGAAACAAGAUCGACAAGAGCUAUUUUAGCCCUUCAGCAAGAUGGUCACUAUAUGUGACUUUUUUUGGUACUUUGACCAGUAAAGACAAUGUAGUUGUGCU